CCAGGCCAAUGGGUAAUGCAGUGCAAACACUUUCCACUAGCAAACCAUUCAGCAAUUUCUAAACAGCUAAAACAAUGCAGUGAGCUUCACAAUAAGACCAGCUUUCACACUGACAGCAGGGACAGCUCUGGAGAAGGGUGGUGCUACAACAGGCGACGUACAAUAGAGAUUGCACCAAUAGAUAUAUUCAGCUUUCUACGUGGUCUGCUGUUCCAGGAGAGCAGUGCACCCAGGGAUUCAAGCUCAGCACACACACCUGCUGCAAAUGAAUUCUUCAUAAGGUACACAGCUGGAUUUUCAUGGGGUGCCGGAAGUUCAGCCUAUCAAACAGAAGGAGCCUGGGACAAAGAUGGAAAAGGACUGAGCAUCUGGGACGUGUUCAGUCAUAAGAAAGGCAAAAUACAACAAAAUGACACCGGGGACUCCUCUUGUGAGGGCUACCACAAAGUCAAGGAUGAUGUUUCUCUGAUGAAGGAGCUGAAGCUUAACCACUAUCGCUUCUCCAUAUCCUGGCCUAGACUCAUCCCCACUGGCAUAAAGUCUGACCAUAUAAAUGAAAAAGGAAUACAGUACUAUGAUGGACUGAUUGACCAGCUGCUGGAGAGCAAGAUCACUCCCGUUGUAACUUUGUAUCACUGGGAUCUUCCACAGGUCUUACAGGAGAAAUAUGGUGGAUGGCAGAAUAUAAGCUUGGUCAAUCAUUUCAAUGAAUUUGCUAACCUGUGCUUUGAAAGAUUUGGCAACCGAGUCAAGUACUGGAUGACUUUCAACAAUCCCUGGUCUGUAGCAGUUGAAGGCUAUGAGACUGGCGAGCAUGCUCCUGGACUAAGACUGAGAGGAACAGGGGCAUACAGGGCUGCACAUCACAUAAUCAAGGCACAUGCUAAAGUUUGGCAUACUUAUGAUACACAAUGGAGGGCAAAACAAAAAGGUCUGGUUGGCAUCUCUCUGUCUGGAGAUUGGGGAGAGCCGGUGGAUAUGAGCAACCAGAAAGACAUUGAAGCAGCUGAGAGAUAUGUCCAGUUCUACCUGGGCUGGUUUGCCACACCCAUCUUUCACGGAGACUACCCUCAAGUGAUGAAAGACUUCAUUGGAAGGAAGAGUGUCCAACAGGGCCUUGGGACGUCUCGCCUGCCAACAUUUUCCACCCAAGAGAAGAGCUACAUCAAGGGGACCUGUGACUUCCUCGGCAUCGGCCAUUUCACCACCCGCUACAUCACCCAAAAGAACAACCCAUCAGGUCGAAGCAGCAGCAGCAGCUACUUCACUGACCGUGACCUGGCAGAGCUGGUUGACCCGCGAUGGCCUGACCCCGGGUCUGAGUGGCUCUAUUCCGUGCCUUGGGGUUUCAGACGUCUGCUCAAUUUUGUCAAGAUUCAGUAUGGAAACCCAAUGAUUUAUGUUACUGAGAAUGGAGUCUCUGAGAAGAUGUUAUGUACAGAGCUGUGUGAUGACUGGAGGAUACAGUAUUAUAAAGACUACAUCAAUGAGAUGCUGAAAGCUAUCAAAGAUGGAGUCAAUGUGAAGGGCUACACCGCAUGGUCCCUGCUGGACAAGUUUGAGUGGGAUGAAGGCUACUCCGAGAGGUUUGGCUUGUACUAUGUGGACUUCAGGAACAAAAACAAGCCUCGCUAUCCCAAAGCCUCUGUUCAGUUUUACAAACGCGUCAUCAGCUCCAAUGGAUUUCCCAAUCAGAGAGAGGUUGAGAACUGGAGGAGGAAGGCUAUUGAGACCUGUUCCUCAAGCAAUCAGCUCCUAGCUGCAGCUAGAAGAAAAUCCAAGGAACAUGCAGAAAUGCCAAAGGUUUGGCCAGUGCAUGAUGAAGUUUAGAACUUGAGGAGGAACAGCGGAGUACUGCUGCCAAUAUUCUAAGACUUAUACAUGACCCUUUGACCAGCCACAUGGAGAUGGUAACUGAGAUCGUUGUUCCCACUGUGUGCACACUCUCUAUUUUGCUCAGUGCCGUCUUCCUUAUGUUCCUGCUGCGGAGGCGGAACUAGACAGUGUGCUUGUUUACAAUCACACACACACACACACACACACACACACACACACCUUUUCUUUCAUGGAUCAUGUGUGAACAUAAAUACAUUAUUUGAACUGAAUUUCGAUGGAAUUAGUGACUUCAUUCAGUUGAUGUGCAUACAGUGUUUGCUGUAAAAAUGUUGGUUAAGCCUUUUAAAAAUCAAUUUAGUACCAGACACUCAAACAGUGUGCAUAGCCCUGCAACAUGUUGGAUUUUCUUAUUACAAUAUUGUUGUGGAAUAUUACCAUUGCAAACAGCCCUUGUGAUCUAUUGUUUUAAGUUGUUCAGCAAAAAAACUUUUCAAAAUCUUU